GGCCUUGUAGCUCAGUGGAUUUAGAGCGUUCGUUUCCGAUGCGAGAAGUCCCAGGUUCGAACCCUGGCUGGGUCA
rnacentral:tRNA from 1 species